ACAAGCUUUUAAGAGCAGAUGGCGGAUGCCUUGCCAAAGAGAGGCGAUGAAGGACGUACUAGACUGCGAUAAGCUAUGCGGAGCUGUCAAGGAGCUUUGAUGCGUAGAUGUCCGAAUGGGGCAACCCAACUAAUAGAGAUAUUAGUUACUCUAAUAUAUAGAGAGCGAACCUAGUGAAGUGAAACAUCUCAGUAACUAGAGGAAAAGAAAUCAACGAGAUUCCCUAAGUAGUGGCGAGCGAACGGGGAAAGGCAAACCGAGUGCUUGCAUUCGGGGUUGAGGACUGCAAUAUCCAAGAGAACGCUUUAGCAGAGUUACCUGGAAAGGUAAGCCAUAGAAAGUGAUAGCCUUGUAUGCGACAAGGCGUUCUUAGGUAGCAGUAUCCAGAGUAGGCCAGGACACGAGAAAUCCAGGUUGAAGCCGGGGAGACCACUCUCCAACCCUAAAUACUACUCUUUGAGCGAUAGCGAACAAGUACCGUGAGGGAAAGGUGAAAAGAACCGCAGUGAGCGGAGUGAAAUAGAACCUGAAACCAUCUGCUUACAAUCAUUCAGAGCCCUAUGAUUUAUCAGGGUGAUGGACUGCCUUUUGCAUAAUGAUCCUGCGAGUUGUGGUAUCUGGCAAGGUUAAGCGAAUGCGAAGCCGUAGCGAAAGCGAGUCUUAAUAGGGCGCUUGAGUCAGAUGCUGCAGACCCGAAGCUAAGUGAUCUAUCCAUGGCCAAGUUGAAGCGCGUGUAAUAGCGCGUGGAGGACUGAACUCGUACCCAUUGAAACGGGUUGGGAUGAGCUGUGGAUAGGGGUGAAAGGCCAAACAAACUUAGUGAUAGCUGGUUCUCUUCGAAAUAUAUUUAGGUAUAGCCUCAAGUGAUAAUAAAAGGGGGUAGAGCGCUGAUUGGGCUAGGGCUGCUCGCCGCGGUACCAAACCCUAUCAAACUUCGAAUACCUUUUAUCGUAUCUUGGGAGUCAGGCGGUGGGUGAUAAAAUCAAUCGUCAAAAGGGGAACAACCCAGACUACCAAAUAAGGUCCCUAAGUUCUAUUCUGAGUGGAAAAAGAUGUGUGGCUACUCAAACAACCAGGAGGUUGGCUUAGAAGCAGCCAUCCUUUAAAGAAAGCGUAACAGCUCACUGGUCUAGUGGUCAUGCGCUGAAAAUAUAACGGGGCUAAGAUAGACACCGAAUUUGUAGAUUGUGUUUGACACAGUGGUAGAAGAGCGUUCAUACCAGCGUUGAAGGUAUACCGGUAAGGAGUGCUGGAGCGGUAUGAAGUGAGCAUGCAGGAAUGAGUAACGAUAAGAUAUAUGAGAAUUGUAUCCCGCCGUAAAAUCUUAAGGUUUCCUACGCGAUGGGUCGUCAUCGUAGGGUUAGUCGGGUCCUAAGCCGAGUCCGAAAGGGGUAGGUGAUGGCAAAUUGGUUAAUAUUCCAAUACCGACUUAUGGAGCGUGAGUGGGGGGACGCAUAGGGUUAAGCGAGCUAGCUGAUGGAAGCGCUAGUCUAAGGGCGUAGAUUGGAGGGAAGGCAAAUCCACCUCUGUAUUUGAAACCCAAACAGGCUCUUUGAGUCCUUUCAGGACAAAGGGAGAAUCGCUGAUACCGUCGUGCCAAGAAAAGCCUCUAAGCAUAUCCAUAGUCGUCCGUACCGCAAACCGACACAGGUAGAUGAGAUGAGUAUUCUAAGGCGCGUGAAAGAACUCUGGUUAAGGAACUCUGCAAACUAGCACCGUAAGUUCGCGAUAAGGUGUGCCACAGCGAUGUGGUCUCAGCAAAGAGUCCCUCCCGACUGUUUACCAAAAACACAGCACUUUGCCAACUCGUAAGAGGAAGUAUAAGGUGUGACGCCUGCCCGGUGCUCGAAGGUUAAGAGGAUGCGUCAGUCGCAAGAUGAAGCGUUGAAUUGAAGCCCGAGUAAACGGCGGCCGUAACUAUAACGGUCCUAAGGUAGCGAAAUUCCUUGUCGGUUAAAUACCGACCUGCAUGAAUGGCGUAACGAGAUGGGAGCUGUCUCAACCAGAGAUUCAGUGAAAUUGUAGUGGAGGUGAAAAAUUCCUCCUACCCGCGGCAAGUACGGAAAGACCCCGUGGACCUUUACUACAACUUAGCACUGCUAAUGGGAAUAUCAUGCGCAGGAUAGGUGGGAGGCUUUGAAGUAAGGGCUUUGGCUCUUAUGGAGCCAUCCUUGAGAUACCACCCUUGAUGUUUCUGUUAGCUAACUGGCCUGUGUUAUCCACAGGCAGGACAAUGCUUGGUGGGUAGUUUGACUGGGGCGGUCGCCUCCUAAAAAGUAACGGAGGCUUGCAAAGGUUGGCUCAUUGCGGUUGGAAAUCGCAAGUUGAGUGUAAUGGCACAAGCCAGCCUGACUGUAAGACAUACAAGUCAAGCAGAGACGAAAGUCGGUCAUAGUGAUCCGGUGGUUCUGUGUGGAAGGGCCAUCGCUCAAAGGAUAAAAGGUACCCCGGGGAUAACAGGCUGAUCUCCCCCAAGAGCUCACAUCGACGGGGAGGUUUGGCACCUCGAUGUCGGCUCAUCGCAUCCUGGGGCUGGAGCAGGUCCCAAGGGUAUGGCUGUUCGCCAUUUAAAGCGGUACGCGAGCUGGGUUCAGAACGUCGUGAGACAGUUCGGUCCCUAUCUGCCGUGGGCGUAGGAAAGUUGAGGAGAGCUGUCCCUAGUACGAGAGGACCGGGAUGGACGUGUCACUGGUGCACCAGUUGUUCUGCCAAGAGCAUCGCUGGGUAGCUACACACGGAUGUGAUAACUGCUGAAAGCAUCUAAGCAGGAAGCCAACUCCAAGAUGAACUUUCCCUGAAGCUCGCACAAAGACUAUGUGCUUGAUAGGGUAGAUGUGUAAGCGCAGUAAUGCGUUUAGCUGACUACUACUAAUAGAGC
rnacentral:rRNA from 1 species